AGUGAACGCUGGCGGCAGGCCUAACACAUGCAAGUCGAGCGGCAGCGGGUCCCCGCGAGGGGAUGCCGGCGAGCGGCGGACGGGUGAGGAACACAUCGGAAUCUGCCUGGUUGUGGGGGAUAACGUAGGGAAACUUACGCUAAUACCGCAUGCGACCCUGAGUCGACGGACUGGGGGUGAAAGUGAGGGACCUUCGGGCCUCACGCGACCAGAUGAGCCGAUGUCGGAUAGCUAGUUGGCGGGGUAACGGCCCGCCAAGGCGACGAUCCGUAGCUGGUCUGAGAGGAUGAUCAGCCACACUGGGACUGAGACACGGCCCAGACUCCUACGGGAGGCAGCAGUGGGGAAUCUUGGACAAUGGGCGCAAGCCUGAUCCAGCCAUGCCGC
rnacentral:rRNA from 1 species